GGCUCACCAAGCCGAUAAUCAGUAGGGGCAAUGGGAGUUGGAGCCCCGAGAAGGACACUGAGACAAGGGUCCUAGUCCUACGGGAUGCAGCAGGCGCGAAACCUUUGCCAUGCGCGAAAGCGUGACAGGGGAAUUCCGAGUGGUAGGGGGGUUUACCUCCCUAUCUUUUGGGCCAAUCUAAACAAUUGGCAGAAUAAGAUCUGGGUAAGACUAGUGCCAGCCGCCAUGCGCGUGAUCAUUCGCACGCACGGCACGGUACGCGGUAAUACUAGCAGAGCAAGUGGUACCCACGAAUAUUGGGUCUAAAGAGUCCGUAGCGGGCCUGUUAAGUCCACUGUGAAAUCUGGCGGCUCAACCGUCAGGCGUGCAGUGGAUACUGGCAGGCUUGGGAGUGGGGGAGGUCGGGAGUACUCACGGGGUAACGGUAAAAUGUUGUAAUCCUGUGAGGACUACCAGUGGCGAAGGCGCCCGACCAAAACACGUCCGACCGUGAGGGACGAAGGCUAGGAGAACGAAUCGGAUUAGAUACCCGAGUAGCCCUAGCAGUAAAUUAUGCAGACUGUGGUGUUGCGUCGACUUCGAGUCGGCGCAGUGCUGUAG
rnacentral:rRNA from 1 species